AUGGGUGACCAUACCGUUGGUGAAACUGUAGCGGCUUCCUCAUGCCACAUUGUUUGCCUGUAAGAAACCAAAUUGGAAAAUGUUGAUAUGUUCACCGCCUUGCUCCUGGGAGGCAAUCGGCUCCGUAGUUAUGCUCAAAAGCCGGCAAAUGACACUAGAGGGGGAAUUCUCAUGCUGUGGGACGACCAGAAGGUCGACAUCUCUUCCAAUCACGCCUCGACAUACUGCCUCUCGGCCAUGGUCCGCAUCAUUGGCUUGGACACAAGCUACAAAAUCACCUCAGUGUAUGGUCCCACUGCUUCCUUCCUCAAGGAUGGUUUUUUCACUGACCCGAUGGCCUUAAAUCCCCCUCCAGGGGUACUCUGGCUCGCGCUUGGAGAUUUCAACUAGAUUUACCGGGCCCGUGAUAAGAAUAAGAGAAAUGUUAACGUUAGCCGCAUCAACCGAUUUAGGGCUGCUCUUCUCUCUUGUGAGCUAAAAGAGAUUCACCUUCAAAACCGGCGCUUCACUUGGAGCAACGAACGGCAGAACCCAACACUAUGCAAGCUGGAUUCAUUCUUUUGCAAUGCCGAAUGGGAUGUCCAUUUUGACAAUCACAUCCUGCACGCUCUCUCCUCUUCGCUCUCCGAUCACUAUCCCCUAUUGCUCGCUGACGUGGUUGGGCCGCGUAGGCCGAGGUCCUUCAAAUUUGAAAACUUCUGGGCCUCCCUCCCUGGAUUCAAUGAGGUGGUUUCGAAUGCCUGGGGAGAGCCCUCUGACCACUACGAACCAUGUCAAGCUCUCCACCACAAGUUAAAAAUCACUGGUGCACGUCUUGCGGCUUGGAGUCGGAAGUUCUUCUCCAACGCUAAAAUCCAGCACCAUGCUGCCCUCCGGAUCAUCUUGCACCUUGACACUGCCCAAGAGCAACGACUAUUGUCUGAUGCGGAAAGUGACCUUAGAGCUAGGCUCAAAAGAAGGGUUGUCAGUCUAGUGGUGCUUGAGCGUGCACGCAAAAAGCAAUGUGCGAGGAUUGCCAAUCUAAAGUAG
rnacentral:rRNA from 1 species